rnacentral:rRNA from 1 species
UGGGGAAUUUUCCGCAAUGGGCGAAAGCCUGACGGAGCAAGACCGCGUGAGGGAGGAAGGCCCUUGGGUUGUAAACCUCUUUUCUCAGGGAAGAAGGAAGUGACGGUACCUGAGGAAUCAGCCUCGGCUAACUCCGUGCCAGCAGCCGCGGUAAUACGGAGGAGGCAAGCGUUAUCCGGAAUUAUUGGGCGUAAAGCGUCCGCAGGUGGUUUUUCAAGUCCGCUGUCAAAGACCGGAGCUUAACUCCGGAGAGGCAGUAGAAACUGAGAGACUAGAGUUCGGUAGGGGUAGAGGGAAUUCCCAGUGUAGCGGUGAAAUGCGUAGAGAUUAGGAAGAACACCGGUGGCGAAAGCGCUCUGCUAGGCCGCAACUGACACUGAGGGACGAAAGCUAGGGGAGCGAAUGGGAUUAGAUACCCCCGUAGUCC